CACAAAACACACUAGAAAAGAACAUGGGCCUUCUCAAGAAAACCUCCCUUCGCACAUUAGCCACAAUUGCCUUCAUCUCAUGCACCAAAAACAUACACAUCCCUUUCUCUCUACAACUUUGCACGCUCCUUCUCCCUUUAUUUCCCCUCAUCAUUCACUUUCUCAACUCCACCACCACCAUCAACCUUCCACCAGGGUCAACGCCCCUCCCCUUAUUCGGCAACUGGCUCCAAGUCGGCAACGACUUGAACCACCACCUCCUCGCCGCUAUGUCCAAGACAUACGGCCCCGUGUUCUUGCUCAAACUCGGCUCAAAAAACCUUGUAGUGGUAUCCAACCCUGAGCUUGCAAACCAAGUCCUACACACACAAGGGGUAGAGUUUGGCUCCCGCCUAAGGAACAUCGUGUUCGACAUAUUCACGGCCAACGACUAGGACAUGGUCUUCACAAUCUACGGCGAGCAUUGGCGCAAGAUGCGCCAUAUCAUGACCGUUCCGUUUUUCACCAACAAAGUGGUGCAACAAUACAGUGAUAUGUGGGAGGAUGAGAUGGGCUUGUGCUCGAUGACAAAUAACAUCGACGUGCAAAAAGAAUGUGGAAUUUGAGUGGUAACAGUGUCCUAGUAAUGUGGUUUUGGUAUUGCAGUCUCCAGGAUAUUAGGCCUAUUAGUUGUUGAAUCUGUGGUGUUGCUUGAUAAAUGGCACAGCUGUUCCUGUGGCUCUUCUUUAGAAAGUGAACGAUUCCUUUACUGGAAGGAGACACUAGCUUUAACUUUUUGGAAGAGAAGUAAAUUGCAGGUAUAAAUUGCAAGAAUUGAAGUGCAGGCAAAGAAAGAGGAAGAGUAGGAAGGUGAAGAGGAGGAGGAGUCACCAUCAUUCAGAUGAUGAUUCUUCUAAUGAUUGUUGCUGAUCUGUGGCAUAAAAUGAGGAGUAGGAAAGCAUAUUCAGACUCUGAUUCCGACAUCAGUGAUUCAGAUGAUUCGCGAGUGGGUAGGGAUAAGAAGCGGUCUGAAAAGAAGAGCAGGAAACAUCGCCAUGAAAAAGACUAGCUUCUACAGUAGGUGAUAUGUCUUGUACUUUUAAAGUUCCUCUAAAUUGCUGCUAAGUGUGCCCUAUUCAAUUUUUAAUCUGGUGGUUGAUGAG